CUCCUGUCCCCAGUCCUCCUCCCCAACUCCUCUCUUGUCCUCCUGUCCCCAGUCCUCCUCCCCAACUCCUGUCUUGUCUUCCUGUCCCAAAUCUUCCUCCCUGCAUGCUCCAAUGUCUGUUGGACUUACCUCACAGAAGAAAAGACGAAGGAGGACAGCAGACACAGUUGGGCUGUGUGGAGGUCUUGGUGCAGUGGCAUCCUUGCUCUGGAUGUGGAAUGAAGUGGAAAAACUCUUGGGAACCAAAGGCAAAUAUUCAGAUAUAAAACCCUAAAAUGACUGUUAUAGUUAAUUUCAUUGUUCUAUGUUUGGAUGUUGUAUUAUACAUGGUAAUGCAACUGUUGGACCAUUAUUUGACAUUUUCUGUUUCUGUAAAUGUUCAAUUGGUAAGCUGUAACAGAAGAAGUGACAUUAACGAGUAAUCUCUUGUAGCAUUCAGCUAUGAAGUAUGGCUUUUACUCAGGUAUUGUGAGUAAAAUAAUGUUAAUAAAAAUAUUUUGUGCAGA